GUAAGGUGAGGGAGAUGGAGGCCGCGGUGAAGAUAGAGCUGGGAGAGGGAUACGAGGCUGAAGGAGGGAUGAAGAAGACAGAGGAAGAGGAGGCCAGGUGGAGAACACAAGACGAACUGAGGACUGGGAGAAAGAGUCAGACAGUAGGGUGUCAGGGGCUGAAACAGACUGUUCCUCUGUAGAGAUACUGCUUGAGUGAAGGAACAGAUUUGAAGAAGUCAUGUGAAACCAGUUCAGGUACAAGAACUAAACAGAGACAGGCAGCGAGAGAAUCAGAGAGAAAACCAGAGAAAAUCUCUUUCCAGCUCCAGACGUCUGUUUUCCUUUUCCUGCCAAGGAUGUAACACUGGUUUGGACAGUGGGGCAACGUCCAAUCAGACAUCAGCACUGGAGGCCCUGUCAUAAUGACAAGCGUGACAUCACUGCAAGGGCGAGCGGAGAGAAGACAGCGGAGCUCCAUACAGACAGCGUGGCACCGCGGCGCUGCGCGGCCGCUACAGCGCGCCGGCUGCCGGAUCCAAAAGGCGCGGACUACCGCGGUGGGCUGGCGGAGGAGAGGACGCGGAGGGUUGGACUGUUUCGCGGCCGGCGCACGGAGCUCCGCGCCCCGGGCAGACUGAGGCUGGUCCACCGGGGGGAGGAAGCGACGGGAAGAUGUGGAGGAUGAAGGAAAACCGCUUCUUGUUUUAUUUCAACACGAGAGGAAGACAACUCCCAAACUGGAAUGAUGCAACAGAAGAGAAGAUGGAAUCAAGAGACCAGAACGUUGGAUGAACCGGAUGGCGGUGGGGACUGGUGAUCGUGAUGGUGGAACGUCCAACCAGGAGGAACACGAGAGCUGGAGAAGAUGCUGAUGCUGUGAUUUCACACACACACACACACACACACACGCACACACACACACACACACACACACACACACACACACACACACACACACACACAGGCUGUAAUGUGAACCAGUUCCAGGUGAAUCAAACUGAAUCAAAGUGAACUGAUCUGAACCUGAAUGACCUCAGUUGGACACUUGACUCUACCUGCUGUUUUAUUUCCACCGCCGGGCCUCAGAACCGCUCGUUCCUCUCAUGUCUGUGUGGGUCUCAUCCAGAUGACACCGGGUCAACGGGGGAUUGAACCCCGGCUCGUCCAGGCCUCUUGCCAAACUGACCCGGGGCAAGAUAGUGAACCUCAAACAGACUGAGGGUUGUGUGUUAAUGUGUGUGAUGGAAAACACACAGCAGAGAGUUGUAUUAAUCUGUUCAGAGCUGGAAGAAGCUGCAACAUGUUUCUGUUCACUUCUUUUUUUUUAAAGCUGUAAAAUAAAAGCACUUUGUUCUUUUACACUUAUUUAAUAAAGAUGAAAUGUCACCAGACA